rnacentral:tRNA from 1 species
GGAGAUGUAGCGAAGUGGUCAUAACGCGGUGCACUCGAAAUGCAUUUGCCCCGUUCGGGGCACGUGGGUUCGAAUCCCACCGUCUCCGCCA